rnacentral:rRNA from 1 species
UACAGAGGGUGCAAGCGUUGUUCGGAAUUAUUGGGCGUAAAGGGCGUGUAGGCGGUUUGCUAAGUCAUGUGUGAAAUCCCUCGGCUUAACCGAGGAACGACGCAUGAUACUGGCAAGCUAGAGUACCAAAGAGGGGGGUGGAAUUCCCGGUGUAGCGGUGAAAUGCGUAGAGAUCGGGAGGAACACCAAUGGCGAAAGCAGGUAACUGGACUAUUACUGACACUCAACUGCGAAAGCUAGGGGAGCAAACAGG